UAUUUUUAUGCUCCACAAACAAUUUCUAAAAAAUCAGAAAAAAAUUACAAUAGCAUUUAUUCGAACCAUAAAUGUGUGAUAACGAAUCUUAACUCCAAUGAUGCUUGCCAGCUACCAUAUUUUAGUGAAUUAAGCCGUCUGAUACUUAAGAAUUCAUUGAUAGGCGCGCUAGAUGCAUACAUUCAGAUUUACAAUGGAACAAUAGGUAUCCGAAAAUAAUGCAAGAUGACGCCUACCGCAUUCCAAACAUCAUAGCAAGCAACAUAUGUCUAUAAACAUCUAUAUACAUAUAUAUAAAGAGCCUCUUAAAUAAGUUGAUAAAUAUAGACCAUUUCUUUUCACUCUUAACAGUCCAACUAAAUAUGUGAUGAAGCUCUAAAACUGUCCUGCUAUAUAUGCAUUGUUCUCACAAACACACGCAAACUAUGACGCAAUUUAGCAAAACUUUAAGAGGAAUUUAUUCCAGCAACUUACAGUACACCAAAUCUUGGGCACCGCCAUUGUACUUACAUAAAAUUACAUGAUUGAUUAAUGCAAACUGACGGUGGCUGUUCCAUGGAGGAUGGUGUGUCGACUUCAGCUCCAGUCGGUGCAGAAACAAGAUUAAUGACUCCCAUACAAAAACUGCAGGUGCCGCACACGAACACAGGCCGAUGGCAAUUUUUUUUUAAUUAAAUGCUGCGGACGACGGUAAACUAAUGAAUAAGAAAAUUAUUUGCUCUCAAAUGUCAACUUAGCGGU